rnacentral:rRNA from 1 species
UACGUAGGGGGCUAGCGUUGUCCGGAUUUAUUGGGCGUAAAGAGCGUGUAGGCGGCCUGGUAGGUCUGCUGUGAAAACUCGAGGCUCAACCUCGAGAUGUCGGCGGAAACCAUCUGGCUAGAGUCCGGAAGAGGAGAGUGGAAUUCCUGGUGUAGCGGUGAAAUGCGCAGAUAUCAGGAAGAACGCCUAUGGCGAAGGCAGCUCUCUGGGACGGUACUGACGCUGAGACGCGAAAGCGUGGGGAGCGAACAGG